rnacentral:Y_RNA from 1 species
GGCUGAUCCGAAGGUACUGAGUUAUCUCAACUGAUUAUUCACAGUCAGUUACAAUUGAACUCCUUGUUCUACUCUUUCCCCCUUCUUACUACUGCACUUGACUAGUCUUAA